rnacentral:snRNA from 1 species
UGAUGUGAGGACAAUCUGGCUGCAUCCCCAUUGCCCCACUGAUAGCAAGGACUGAUACGGCUGCUCUGGCUGGCUAGGUUGUGUUUUCUUCCCUCACUGCUCCAUGUACAUCCCUCUUGAAGCCACACACUUAGUGGAAGAGGAUGGCUAUCUUAGACAGGAGUAUUUGGUCAAUUGUCCUCUCCUGCUAAAAGCUCCACAUACAUUCACAUUCAAGGUCUGUUUGCAGGAGAAUGUAGAGUAGUCAAGCUUCCAAGACUCCAGACACAUCCAUGUGAGGUGCUGCACAUGGCAGUUUGCCAAUUAUU